rnacentral:rRNA from 1 species
AAAGCCUGAUCCAGCCAUGCCGCGUGUGUGAAGAAGGUCUUCGGAUUGUAAAGCACUUUAAGUUGGGAGGAAGGGUUUCUGGCUAAUAUCCAGGAAUUUUGACGUUACCGACAGAAUAAGCACCGGCUAACUUCGUGCCAGCAGCCGCGGUAAUACGAAGGGUGCAAGCGUUAAUCGGAAUUACUGGGCGUAAAGCGCACGUAGGCGGAUCGAUCAGUUAGGGGUGAAAUCCCAGGGCUCAACCCUGGAACUGCCUCUAAUACUGUCGAUCUCGAGUUCGAGAGAGGUGAGUGGAAUUCCGAGUGUAGAGGUGAAAUUCGUAGAUAUUCGGAGGAACACCAGUGGCGAAGGCGGCUCACUGGCUCGAUACUGACGCUGAGGUGCGAAAGCGUGGGGAGCAAACA